rnacentral:rRNA from 1 species
UACGUAGGGUGCGAGCGUUGUCCGGAAUUACUGGGCGUAAAGAGCUCGUAGGUGGUUUGUCGCGUUGUUCGUGAAAUUCCCUGGCUUAACUGGGGGCGUGCGGGCGAUACGGGCAGACUGGAGUACUGCAGGGGAGACUGGAAUUCCUGGUGUAGCGGUGGAAUGCGCAGAUAUCAGGAGGAACACCGGUGGCGAAGGCGGGUCUCUGGACAGUAACUGACGCUGAGGCGCGAAAGCGUGGGGAGCAAACAGG